UUUUUGAAAAUACAAUUUCCAUUGCUACACCUGAAAAAUGAAACACUUUUUUCUCAAUUUUGUCAGAGUGGUACAAUUAGGUCAACGGGAUAGAUUUAAUUGCGAUAAGAUUUGUAUGGAGACUUACUGGAAGUUGUUAUCCGGACAUUUAGACGUUUUUGACGUGCAAUUCUGUUCGUCUUUGCCAUUCGUACAGUCUCUUUGACCAUCGCAAACCCAUG
rnacentral:sRNA from 1 species